AGAGAGAGAGAGAGAGAGAGAGAGAGAGAGAGAGAGAGAGAGAGAGAGAGAGAGAGAGAGAGAGAGAGAGAGAGAGAGAGAGAGAGAGAGACUGUGUUUACUUGGUGCCGCGUGGCCGCUGUGGUGGGCAAAGGAACCAAGGAAGCAAGCAAGCAAGGAAAUAACCAG